AGCGAACGCUGGCGGCAGGCCUAACACAUGCAAGUCGAACGAACUCUUCGGAGUUAGUGGCGGACGGGUGAGUAACACGUGGGAACGUGCCUUUUGGUUCGGAAUAACUCAGGGAAACUUGUGCUAAUACCGAAUGUGCCCUUCGGGGGAAAGAUUUAUCGCCAUUAGAGCGGCCCGCGUCUGAUUAGCUAGUUGGUGAGGUAACGGCUCACCAAGGCGACGAUCAGUAGCUGGUCUGAGAGGAUGACCAGCCACACUGGGACUGAGACACGGCCCAGACUCCGACGGGAGGGAGCAGUGGGGAAUCUUGCGCAAUGGGCGAAAGCCUGACGCAGCCAUGCCGCGUGAAUGAUGAAGGUCUUAGGAUUGUAAAAUUCUUUCACCGGGGACGAUAAUGACGGUACCCGGAGAAGAAGCCCCGGCUAACUUCGUG
rnacentral:rRNA from 1 species